UUCUGAAUUUACUGGGUUCUGGGUGUUUCAUUUACUUCCUCAGCCUGGUCAACGUCAUUAUUCCCUUCCAGGAUCUUAGAAGUCUUUCUUCUCUCUCUACGAUGAAAAGUUUGAAUGAGAUAUAGAAAACACAACAGUGGAAGACAUUGCUGCUUGCAAAACAAAAGGAUGGGGCUUCCUGAAAAAAAAAAUAACUAGAGGAGAAAAGAUAUGAACUGUAUAACAAAGGAAUGGGGACACGAAAUGAUCUCAGGAACUACACAGCACAGAAUGUUCUAGAAUCAAAAGCCUCAUUUAUAAAGAUAGGACAAAUCAUUUUAAGUCCAUGCUGAAGGUGCUGGCCUUUAUCCAUUGGAAUCUCUGUGAUU
rnacentral:lncRNA from 1 species